CGGAGAGGCUUCGGCAAGUGGGGGAAACCCCUGACCGAGCGACGUCGCGUGGGUGAUGAAGGUCUUUGGACCGUAAAACCCUGUCAGAUGGGAAGAAACACCAUUCGGUUAAUACCCGAGUGGCUUGACGGUA
rnacentral:rRNA from 1 species